UCCACAGGCCACUCGGGGACACAGAAGGUGUGGGGCAGGAGCCCUGGGCUGGUGCCAUUGGUUGUGGGAUGAUGAGGGUGUUCCUCAGAUUGCUUCUGUUUUCCCACUGAAGUAUGGGGACCAGGGGAGACAGGAGAGCUCAGGUGGGCACAGGUGCAUGAGGGUCAUUGUGAGAAUGAACUGAAAUAAUCUGUAGGGAAAAGCUUUAUAAACUGUAAAGUGCUAUACAAUACUGGAUGCCGGUGACGCUGGCGAUGAUGAUGAUGAUGAUGACGACGAUGAUGAUGAUACAAUCUUGGCAGCUAGACCCAUGGGCUGCACUGGAAGGAAAAACUGCUAAUAGAAACUUGCAUUUGUAUGUCAUCUUGAGCUUCUUUAAAUUAAGCUUGAAAGUCUCAUCUGCUAAUGAAAAGCUGUCGUUUACUGAGGGUUUAUGUGUCGGGCACUGUGUCAGGUCUGGAAGCCAGAAGCACAAAACGAAGGUGUCAGCAGGGCUGGUUCCCAUUUGGAGGCUCUGAGGGAGGACCGUCCAUGCCUGUGUCUGGCUUCCGGGAUUGCCAGUGACCCUUGGCAUCCCGUGGAUUGUGGAAGCUUCUCUCCAACCUGUGCCUCUGUGAUCACUUGCUAUUCCCUUUGUGUGUGUGUCUCUGUGUCCAAAUCCCCACUUCUCAUAAGCGCACGUAGACACACCCUAAUCCAGUGUGACCUCCUCUUGACUUGAUCACAUCUGCGAAGACCCUACUUCCAAACAAGGCCACAUGUGCAGGUUCUGAAUGGACGUGAAUUUGGGGGUGGCGGGGAUACUAUUCAACCCAGUAUGGUGUUCCAAUUUAUUAAUUUAUUUACUGUGACUCAUCAACCUGAUGAGGCAGAUACUUUUAUUAAUCCAAUUUUGCAGACAGAAAACCCGAGGCUUGGAAAAGCAAAUAGCUCGCCCAAAGCCCAGUAGCUUUCGGGGGCCGCUCUCAAACCCUGGCCUCUCGAACUCGAUGUUCUUCGCCACUCUGCCAGCGUUUCUCAAACUGGGAUUCAAGGACACAUUCUCGGGACCCCUCCGAGUCUCCGUGACAAUUUGACAUUUUUGUUC